rnacentral:rRNA from 1 species
ACACUCCUGCGGGAGGCAGCAGUGGGGAAUUUUGGACAAUGUGCGAAAGCCUGAUCCAGCAAUGCCGCGUGAGUGAAGAAGGCCUUCGGGUUGUAAAGCUCUUUUGUCAGGGAAGAAACGGUGAAAGCUAAUAUCUUUUGCUAAUGACGGUACCUGAAGAAUAAGCACCGGCUAACUACGUGCCAGCAGCCGCGGUAAUACGUAGGGUGCAAGCGUUAAUCGGAAUUACUGGGCGUAAAGCGUGCGCAGGCGGUUUUGUAAGUCUGAUGUGAAAUCCCCGGGCUCAACCUGGGAAUUGCAUUGGAGACUGCAAGGCUAGAAUCUGGCAGAGGGGGGUAGAAUUCCACGUGUAGCAGUGAAAUGCGUAGAUAUGUGGAGGAACACCGAUGGCGAAGGCAGCCCCCUGGGUCAAGUUUGACGCUCAUGCACGAAAGCGUGGGGAGCAAACAGGAUUAGAAACCCCUGUAGUCCCA